UACGGAGGGGGCUAGCGUUGUUCGGAAUUACUGGGCGUAAAGCGCACGUAGGCGGCUUUGCAAGUCAGAGGUGAAAGCCCGGGGCUCAACCCCGGAAUUGCCUUUGAGACUGCAUCGCUAGAGUUGUGGAGAGGUAAGUGGAAUUCCGAGUGUAGAGGUGAAAUUCGUAGAUAUUCGGAAGAACACCAGUGGCGAAGGCGACUUACUGGACACAUAUUGACGCUGAGGUGCGAAAGCGUGGGGAGCAAACAGG
rnacentral:rRNA from 1 species